rnacentral:rRNA from 1 species
UACGGAGGGGGCAAGCGUUGUUCGGAAUUACUGGGCGGAAAGGGCGCGCAGGCGGCUGCUCAAGUCAGGCGUGAAAGGCCUGGGCUCAACCCGGGAAUUGCGCUUGAGACUGGGCUGGCUUGAGUGCGGGAGAGGAUGGUGGAAUUCCCAGUGUAGAGGUGAAAUGUGUAGAUAUUGGGAGGAACACCAGUGGCGAAGGCGGCUCACUGGACCGGAACUGACGCUGAUGCGCGAAAGCGUGGGGAGCAAACGGG